rnacentral:other from 1 species
GACUUUCUGGGAAAAACGGGCUUGGAGCCAUACACUUUGAGCCGAUGCUUGUAGACCGGGAGCCGUUAAUUCGAAGCUGUUGUGCAUGUCCAACUUGAUUGGAAAGCCUGAUGCCUCGCACCUGGCCCCCACUUGAACCAAAUAGGGUUCAAGGUCGAGGCUCCUCCUUUUUCCUGGGAAGCAC